GAUUUGGUUUUGCUAUAGAGCGUUUGUGUGAGCGGGAGCUCGUGCUAUCAAUGUGACGAAUUGGAAUUUUUCGCAUUACCUUCAGUUGGCAGUCACCCAACGUAAUAUAUCUACAAUCAGUUACAUACGGCUACAGUAGCAUAUCAUUAAGUUUUCUCUAAACACCAACCUUGACAAGCAAAAAGCUACACAUCGGACCAAGAAUAACGCGAAAGCAUUGGAUCCAAUUUCAUCGGAAUAGGAUAUCGAAACCCUUCUCGCAAUGUAACGUACACGGCGCAAAAGGCAAAGGGGUGAUGGCCUGGCCAUCGUCCUACUCGCAAUUGGAUCCGAGCCAAACAAGGACGCCUUUGAGUCACCAUCACGCGUCGCGUCGUAAGGAAAGCCUGGAACCUGAACCCCUUGGCAUAAUCGUACGUCUCGAGGGUGGAUCCGAUGUCCCGCUUCGUUUACCCCGGCCCCGUAUAACCCACUCCGACUGCGACGACGGCUGUUAUUUUAUCCCGUUUUCGGAAUAAAUUUACAUUUUCCGUAACAAGCAUCAGGGCAAGUUGAAGCCAGGAAAAAAAA